rnacentral:rRNA from 1 species
GUGCCAGCCGCCGCGGUAAUACGGGGGGGGCAAGCGUUGUUCGGAAUUACUGGGCGUAAAGGGUGCGUAGGCGGCUUUCUAAGUUGGAUGUGAAAACUCUGGGCUCAACCCAGAGACUGCAUCCAAAACUGGGAGGCUAGGGUCCUGGAGGGGAGAGCGGAAUUCCUGGUGUAGCGGUGAAAUGCGUAGAUAUCAGGAGGAACACCGGUGGCGAAGGCGGCUCUCUGGACAGGUACCGACGCUGAGGCACGAAAGCUAGGGGAGCAAACAGGAUUAGAUACCCCAGUAGUCC